GAUGAAGAACGUAGCGAAAUGCGAUAAGUAAUGUGAAUUGCAGAAUUCAGUGAAUCAUCGAAUCUUUGAACGCACCUUGCGCCCUUUGGCUAUUCCGAAGGGCAUGCCUGUUUGAGUAUCGUGAACACCUCAACUCUCAUGGUUUGCCAUGAUGAGCUUGGACUCUGGGGGUUUUGCUGGCUCACAGUCGGCUCCUCUAAAAUGAAUCAGCUUACCAGUGUUUGGUGGGUAUCAUGGGUGUGAUAACUAUCUACGCUUGUGGUUUUUCCACCAGGUAACCUUCAGCAGUGGAGGUUCGCUGGAGCUCAUAGAUGUCUCUCCUCAGUGAGGACAGCCCUUUGAAUGUUUGAUCUCAAAUCAGGUAGGACUACCCGCUGAACUUAAGCAUAUCAAUAAGCGGAGGA
rnacentral:misc_RNA from 1 species